rnacentral:lncRNA from 1 species
UGAAGAUGCAGUAGGAUGGAAUGAGGCUACUUGAAGAAGAACACCAAGAUCUCGCAUGACUAGGCAAAUUUGGCCUUAUUAAAAUCUUUGCUUCAUUCCCGUUACACGACAAUGAGCAAAGAGGGGCAGCUGUAAUAGCCCAAAUUUGCCCGGCCCAAAUCAGAAGGAAAUAAAAAAAAACAACAACAACAACAAACAACAAAUAAAAAAUAGUCCAUUUUAAAUGUCCAUUUACAAACUGUUAACCAAUUACAGGCCCAACUCUACCCUAACCCAAAAUACAUUAGCAAUACCCAAACCCGAAUAACCCAACACUAGCC